rnacentral:ncRNA from 1 species
ACUACGAGUAAAGAUGCUCGUUUCGCGCAGCAGGACGGAAAGACCCCGGGACCUUUACUACAGUUUGAUAUUGGUGUUCGGUUCGGCUUGUGUAGGAUAGCUGGGAGACUUUGAAACGCGGACGCCAGUUCGUGUGGAGUCGUCGUUGAAAUACCAGUCUGGUCGUGCUGGAUGUCUAACCUGGGUCCGUGAUCCGGAUCAGGGACAGUGUCUGAUGGGUAGUUUAACUGGGGCGGUUGCCUCCUAAAGGGUAACGGAGGCGCCCAAAGGUUCCCUCAGCCUGGUUGGCAAUCAGGUGUUGAGUGUAAGUGCACAAGGGAGCUUGACUGUGAGACCGACGGGUCGAGCAGGGACGAAAGUCGGGACUAGUGAUCCGGCGGUGGCUUGUGGAAGCGCCGUCGCUCAACGGAUAAAAGGUACCCCGGGGAUAACAGGCUGAUCUUCCCCAAGAGUCCAUAUCGACGGGAUGGUUUGGCACCUCGAUGUCGGCUCGUCGCAUCCUGGGGCUGGAGUCGGUCCCAAGGGUUGGGCUGUUCGCCCAUUAAAGCGGUACGCGAGCUGGGUUUAGAACGUCGUGAGACAGUUCGGUCCCUAUCCGCUGUGCGCGUAGGAGUCUUGAGAAGGGCUGUCCCUAGUACGAGAGGACCGGGACGGACGAACCUCUGGUGUGCCAGUUGUUCUGCCAAGGGCAUGGCUGGUUGGCUACGUUCGGGAGGGAUAACCGCUGAAAGCAUCUAAGCGGGAAGCCUGCUUCGAGAUGAGGACUCCCACCCCUUUGAUGGGGUAAGGCUCCCAGUAGACGACUGGGUUGAUAGGCCGGAUCUGGAAGCCAGGUAACUGGUGGAGGUGACCGGUACUAAUAGGCCGA